AAAUUUGGCAAAUUUGCCGACUUUGAGACUCAGAAAUUCCCACAGAAUCAGAGAGUUUGAAUAUUCAGGCUGUGAAAGAGGUUGUUGUGAGUCAGCUGUGUGGUAGCUUGCUUUUAAACAAAAU